rnacentral:rRNA from 1 species
ACGGGAGGCAGCAGUGGGGAAUAUUGCACAAUGGGGGAAACCCUGAUGCAGCGACGCCGCGUGAGUGAAGAAGUUAUUCGUAAUGUAAAGCUCUAUCAGCAGGGAAGUAAAUGACGGUACCUGACUAAGAAGCCCCGGCUAACUACGUGCCAGCAGCCGCGGUAAUACGUAGGUGGCAAGCGUUGUCCGGAUUUACCGGGUGUAAAGGGCGUGUAGCCGGGGGAGCAAGUCAGAUGUGAAAUCUAUGGGCUUAACCCAUAAACUGCAUUUGAAACUGUUCUUCUUGAGUGCUGGAGGGGCAAUCGGAAUUCCUUGUGUAGCGGCGAAAUGCGUAGAUAUAAGGAGGAACACCAGUGGCGAAGGCGGAUUGCUGGACAGUAACUGACGGUGAGGCGCGAAAGCGUGGGGAGCAAACAGGAUUAGAUACCCUGGUA